UACAGAGGGUGCGAGCGUUAAUCGGAUUUACUGGGCGUAAAGGGCGCGUAGGUGGUAAAGCAAGUAAGAUGUGAAAGCCCUGGACUUAACCUGGGAAGUGCAUCUUAAACUGCUUAACUAGAGUAUGGUAGAGGGUAGUGGAAUUUCCGGUGUAGCGGUGAAAUGCGUAGAGAUCGGAAGGAACGCCAGUGGUGAAGACGACUACCUGGAUCAAUACUGACACUGAGGCGCGAAAGCGUGGGGAUCAAACAGG
rnacentral:rRNA from 1 species